rnacentral:rRNA from 1 species
AACGAACGCUGGCGGCAUGCCUAACACAUGCAAGUCGAACGAGACCUUCGGGUCUAGUGGCGCACGGGUGCGUAACGCGUGGGAACCUGCCCUUAGGUUCGGAAUAACUCCCCGAAAGGGGUGCUAAUACCGGAUAAUGUCUUCGGACCAAAGAUUUAUCGCCUUUGGAUGGGCCCGCGUUGGAUUAGCUAGUUGGUAGGGUAAAAGCCUACCAAGGCGACGAUCCAUAGCUGGUCUGAGAGGAUGAUCAGCCACACUGGGACUGAGACACGGCCCAGACCCCGCGGGGAGGAGGCGGGGGGGUAUAUUGGAAAGGGGGGGAAAGCUUAACCCAGCAGUGCCGGGGGAGUGAGGAAGCCUUUGGGGUUGAAAAGUUUUUUUACCCGGGAUGAAAAGGACAGUCCGGGGAAAAAAAGCCCCGGCUACCCCCGUG